UCCACUCAUGAUGGAUUAAUCUGACCUACAUUAGAUUAACUGCCUAUGGUAGUCGAAUGGGAGUUGGUGGCGAUUGAAAACAGUUGAGGGCAGUUGGACACAUAUUUAAUGUCCCAAAACUACCACUUUUCGUUAUGACUACAAUAUAGAAAAAAUGCUAAAAUACUUUACCUUCCAAGGACGCAAAUACAAAUCCUCCCAGAAGAAAAUUUCUUCUCUCACAAAAUCCAGAAUCAAUAGGCAUGCAAAGUGUGUUGUGGAAAUUAACUAAUCAUGCUUCAGAUCGCAUUCAAUUCGAAACAAAAGAGUAUGAAAUCCAGGUAUGCUUUCUGUGAAUUCAAUUUAUAGAAUUUUGGCUGAAAUCUAACAUUGGUAAAAGAGCCUAGGGUGAUGUAAUUAUCUUGCCAAUAAUUUUGUGUUAAUAAACAAACUGAAUUAUCAAUUUUUCAUUAAAAUUGGUUAAAAAUUGAAAUUAAUUUGUGCAACAUUGCAUGAAAUUGAGACUUAUAAACAUGUUAGGAUAAUGCUUGAAUGUGUUGCAUGUUUUCAUUUGAAAAUCACACCAAAAUAAGGACGAAAUUGACGAAAAUUGAGACCUAAAAUCAUGACAUUUAAGCCUCAAUGUUGCUGGAAUUUGGCGACAUUGAUGCUGGAAAGUGGAACGAAUAUGACCACUUACAUGGGCUGAUCAAAACCCUUGUGGUUUUGGCCUGACUGACAGUUGAAAUUGAUGAAUUGAAUGAUUACCAGACUUGUUUGGUUGGGUUGCAAUUGGGUUAGGAAAACCCGAUUACUAGACUUGUUUGGUCAGCAGGUUUCCUAAACCCAUUGGUUAAUAGGUCAACCCAUUUAGUCAACCAGAUGACCCAAAUCGUCAAUGCCCACUGGGUUGAUUGAUAGAUCAAUGACCCAAUCCACACCUAAUUGGCGUGUGGUAGCUUGUGAAAGUGCAUCGCCAAUGUGUGGAGGUGCAUGAGGUUGAUUUUUGGUGCAUGAAGGCAUGCCGGACCUUGUUCUGACGCUUGGGUUACUGUUAUCAGCAUGUGAGAACAUGUGAAACCCUCUUAUUGACACAUGAUAGCAUGCUGAUGGUUGGAUCAAUGCAUGGUCCAGUGGGUCUUACAUUGCAUAAAAGUGUUUAAGACCUUAUUUUGGUUCAUGCAAACACGUAAUAAUAUUUCAAAACACAUGUUUCUAAAUCAUGCAAACAUGAUGACUAAAGACCAUUACAUGAGCUAUAAGAUGAGAUCAUCUGACAGUUUAAUGAUGCAUGUUAGGGUUAUAUAUUAUAAAUAUUUAGACUUAAAGGUAAGUCGUAUACUCUUAACGACAAAAGAGAUGAUAUAUAAUCUAUUUAUGUCUAUGUCUGACCAUUGAAAUCCCAUGAUACAUGAUCUUAUUUAGGAAAAGAACGUAAAAAUUUUUUGAGAUUAUGUGGAGAGAUUACAACUUGGUGAAAAGCGACACAUCAUAAUAAAUGUAAGAAAAUCCACUAUUUUAUUGUUUUUCUUAAAUCAACAAAGUACGAGAUAUAUGGGCUAUUGCAAACAACAUAGAGACUUACUAUGGAUAAAGUGACUCAAAGAUUGUAUGAGAUGAUGAAAUGGUCCUAGUUAUAGUUGUCAUGCAUAUUUUUUUUUGUAUCACAUAUUAUAAUUGUUAAUUGUGAGAAUUCUGAGAUUGAUAGAAUUUAAUGAAAUUCUCAUCCAGAAUUAAUAUGAGUGCAAUUAGAUUAAAUUUUAAAAUAUCAAACAUUUGGAUCAUAGAAGAUGAUUAGAAAUAUAGUUAACUUUCGAUUUUAUGUCUUAUGAGAUAUUUUAAAUUUUAACACACGAUUGUGACAAUUGAUAUGUAUAUAAUUGUAUUAGUUAAUGUUGUGUCAAAUAUAUCUUUGUAAUCUGAUUAACCAUGACAUUCAAGAAUAUAAUAGCUAACUUGAACAAAAGUGAGAAAUCAAUUCUAUGCGUUAUGUGAGAUAUUUUAAAUUUUGAUGCAUGAUUGUGACAAUCAUGUUAUGACUUGCAAUUGGAAUACGAGGACUUUUCCUUACAGUACUUGUCAUAUUGAGCUAGAAGACGAGUGCCUUGAGGUAGUUGGAUCAGGUGCUCAUGCAUACAUUGCAAAGUCUAGUUCCAAAAGGUUUUUUUGCUUCAAAUGUAAAUGGCAAAAGUCUAAGAAAGGAAAGGAAGUUGCGCAAGGCCCUAAGAACAAGAACAAGAAAUUUUGACAAAAGAAAGGUAAAUGUGUUGGAAAAAGAGACAAAAGUAAAAUGACUUGUUAUAAUUAUGGCAUGAAGGGUCAUUUUGCCUGUGAAUACAUAGAGCCAGAAAAGACUCAGGAGCCACAGACAAUGUAGUUCAUGACAAAGGAGUUUUUGUAAAAUUUCACCAAAUUUCAAAGCAGAAGAGAUGGAUUUAUGUUGGCAAUAAUACGAGAGUUGAAGUAAAAGGAUAGACACAUGCAAAUUAGUUUUGCAAGGUGGUCAAACCCUAUUCCUAUAUGAAAUUCGAUAUGCUCUAGAUAUUUGAUGAAACUUGGUCUCAGUGCUUGUUAUUUUAAAUCUAUUAUAUAAUUUGAAUUUCUUUAGAGGCUUUAUUAGAGUUUAUAAUGGUAUUAACUUCCUUAUGCCCUUUCCCUUGCUUUUGGACCUUUCUGAGGUCAUUUGUGUUUCUUUUUUGCUCCACUUGUGGAGGCAAUGUGAACUUCCUCUUGCCCUUUC